rnacentral:rRNA from 1 species
GCGGCGGACGGGUGAGUAACACGUGGGUAACCUGCCUGUAAGACUGGGAUAACUCCGGGAAACCGGGGCUAAUACCGGAUGGUUGUUUGAACCGCAUGGUUCAAACAUAAAAGGUGGCUUCGGCUACCACUUACAGAUGGACCCGCGGCGCAUUAGCUAGUUGGUGAGGUAACGGCUCACCAAGGCAACGAUGCGUAGCCGACCUGAGAGGGUGAUCGGCCACACUGGGACUGAGACACGGCCCAGACUCCUACGGGAGGCAGCAGUAGGGAAUCUUCCGCAAUGGACGAAAGUCUGACGGAGCAACGCCGCGUGAGUGAUGAAGGUUUUCGGAUCGUAAAGCUCUGUUGUUAGGGAAGAACAAGUACCGUUCGAAUAGGGCGGUACCUUGACGGUACCUAACCAGAAAGCCACGGCUAACUACGUGCCAGCAGCCGCGGUAAUACGUAGGUGGCAAGCGUUGUCCGGAAUUAUUGGGCGUAAAGGGCUCGCAGGCGGUUUCUUAAGUCUGAUGUGAAAGCCCCCGGCUCAACCGGGGAGGGUCAUUGGAAACUGGGGAACUUGAGUGCAGAAGAGGAGAGUGGAAUUCCACGUGUAGCGGUGAAAUGCGUAGAGAUGUGGAGGAACACCAGUGGCGAAGGC